rnacentral:rRNA from 1 species
UACGUAGGGCGCGAGCGUUGUUCGGAAUCAUUGGGCGUAAAGAGCUCGUAGGCGGCCUGUCGCGUCUGCUGUGAAAUCCCGGGGCUUAACCCCGGGCGUGCAGUGGAUACGGGCUGGCUGGAGGCAGGCAGGGGAGAACGGAAUUCCCGGUGUAGCGGUGAAAUGCGCAGAUAUCGGGAGGAACACCGGUGGCGAAGGCGGUUCUCUGGGCCCGUACUGACGCUGAGGAGCGAAAGCGUGGGGAGCGAACAGG